GACAGAGGGUGCAAACGUUGCUCGGAAUUACUGGGCGUAAAGGGCGUGUGAGGCGGGAGCAAGUCGGGCGUGAAAUCCCCAGGCUCAACCUGGGAACUGCACUCGAAACUGCCUUUCUUGAGUGUCGGAGAGGAAAGCGGAAUUCCUGGUGUAGAGGUGAAAUUCGUAGAUAUCAGGAGGAACACCAGUGGCGAAGGCGGCUUUCUGGACGAUAACUGACGCUGAGACGCGAAAGCGUGGGGAGCAAACAGG
rnacentral:rRNA from 1 species